UACGUAGGGGGCAAGCGUUGUCCGGAAUCAUUGGGCGUAAAGCGCGUGUAGGCGGCUCGGUAAGUCUGCUGUGAAAGUUCAGGGCUCAACCCUGAAAUGCCGGUGGAAACUGUCGAGCUAGAGUACGGAAGAGGUGAGUGGAAUUCCUGGUGUAGCGGUGAAAUGCGCAGAUAUCAGGAGGAACACCAAUGGCGAAGGCAGCUCACUGGGACGUUACUGACGCUGAGACGCGAAAGCGUGGGGAGCAAACAGG
rnacentral:rRNA from 1 species